GUCAAGUGAUGAAGAUUAGCACCAGGAGGUCAACUGGAGAAAAACCAGAGUAUCUUAUCAUUGUCUGUAAUCUUGAUAGGUGUGACUGAAACUGCACGCUUGUUGUAAGGCCGGACAUAGAGAAGGGGCCAGGAUUUGUUGACUCUGCAGCAAAAGUAUGUUCCAGGGUAAUUUUCCUGGCAGACAGGGUGGGUGGGGAGGAGUGGGGGUGGGGCAACUUUACCCGUUUGACCAGUGACCAAUGACAUUUUUCUUUAGUAAUCUGAUGGCA